GACGAACGCUGGCGGCGUGCUUAACACAUGCAAGUCGAACGGAAAGGCCCUGCUUUUGUGGGGUGCUCGAGUGGCGAACGGGUGAGUAACACGUGAGUAACCUGCCCUUGACUUUGGGAUAACUUCAGGAAACUGGGGCUAAUACCGUAUAGGAGCUCCUGCUGCAUGGUGGGGGUUGGAAAGUUUCGGCGGUUGGGGUUGGACUCGCGGCUUAUCAGCUUGUUGGUGGGGUAGUGGCUUACCAAGGCUUUGACGGGUAGCCGGCCUGAGAGGGUGACCGGCCACAUUGGGACUGAGAUACGGCCCAGACGCCUACGGGAGGCAGCAGUGGGGAAUAUUGCACAAUGGGCGGAAGCCUGAUGCAGCAACGCCGCGUGCGGGAUGACGGCCUUCGGGUUGUAAACCGCUUUCGCCUGUGACGAAGCGGGAGUGACGGUAAUGGGUAAAGAAGCACCGGCUAACUACGUG
rnacentral:rRNA from 1 species